rnacentral:misc_RNA from 1 species
GAAGGAUCAUUAGUGAAUAUAGGACGUCCAACUUAACUUGGAGUCCGAACUCUCACUUUCUAACCCUGUGCACUUGUUUGGGAUAGUAACUCUCGCAAGAGAGCGAACUCCUAUUCACUUAUAAACACAAAGUCUAUGAAUGUAUUAAAUUUUAUAACAAAAUAAAACUUUCAACAACGGAUCUCUUGGCUCUCGCAUCGAUGAAGAACGCAGCGAAAUGCGAUAAGUAAUGUGAAUUGCAGAAUUCAGUGAAUCAUCGAAUCUUUGAACGCACCUUGCGCUCCAUGGUAUUCCGUGGAGCAUGCCUGUUUGAGUGUCAUGAAUACUUCAACCCUCCUCUUUCUUAAUGAUUGAAGAGGUGUUUGGUUUCUGAGCGCUGCUGGCCUUUACGGUCUAGCUCGUUCGUAAUGCAUUAGCAUCCGCAAUCGAACUUCGGAUUGACUUGGCGUAAUAGACUAUUCGCUGAGGAAUUCUAGUCUUCGGAUUAGAGCCGGGUUGGGUUAAAGGAAGCUUCUAAUCAGAAUGUCUACAUUUUAAGAUUAGAUCUCAAAUCAGGUAGGACUACCCGCUGAACUUAA